rnacentral:rRNA from 1 species
GACGAACCGUGCGAACGUUAUUCGGAAUCACUGGGCUUAAAGCGCGUGUAGGCGGCUUUGUACGUCCGUCGCUGAAAGCCCCCGGCUCAACCGGGGAAGUGGCGUGGAUACGGCAAGGCUUGAGGGACGUAGGGGGGGCUGGAACUUCCGGUGGAGCGGUGAAAUGCGUUGAGAUCGGAAGGAACGCCCGUGGCGAAAGCGAGCCCCUGGACGUCAACUGACGCUGAGACGCGAAAGCUAGGGGAGCGAACGGG